rnacentral:rRNA from 1 species
UACAGAGGGGGCAAGCGUUAUUCGGAAUUAUUGGGCGUAAAGGGCGCGUAGGCGGCCUGACAAGUGGAAGGUGAAAUCCCUCGGCUUAACCGGGGAACUGCAUCUGAUACUGGAUGGCUUGAGUUCGGGAGAGGGAUGCGGAAUUCCAGGUGUAGCGGUGAAAUGCGUAGAUAUCUGGAGGAACACCGGUGGCGAAGGCGGCAUCCUGGACCGACACUGACGCUGAGGAGCGAAAGCCAGGGGAGCAAACGGG